GAGUUUGAUCAUGGCUCAGAACGAACGCUGGCGGCAGGCCUAAUACAUGCAAGUCGAGCGCGCCCUUCGGGGUGAGCGGCGGACGGGUGAGUAACGCGUGGGAAUAUGCCCUUCUCUAAGGAAUAGCCUCUGGAAACGGAGAGUAAUACCUUAUACGCCCUUCGGGGGAAAGAUUUAUCGGAGAAGGAUUAGCCCGCGUUAGAUUAGGUAGUUGGUGGGGUAAUGGCCUACCAAGCCUACGAUCUAUAGCUGGUUUGAGAGGAUGAUCAGCCACACUGGGACUGAGACACGGCCCAGACUCCUACGGGAGGCAGCAGUAGGGAAUCUUAGACAAUGGGGGCAACCCUGAUCUAGCCAUGCCGCGUGUGUGAUGAAGGCCCUAGGGUCGUAAAGCACUUUCGCCAGAGAUGAUAAUGACAGUAUCUGGUAAAGAAACCCCGGCUAACUCCGUGCCAGCAGCCGCGGUAAUACGGAAGGUGCAAGCGUUAAUCGGAAUUACUGGGCGUAAAGCGCGCGUAGGUGGUUUGUUAAGUUGGAUGUGAAAGCCCUGGGCUCAACCUAGGAACUGCAUCCAAAACUAACUCACUAGAGUACGAUAGAGGGAGGUAGAAUUCAUAGUGUAGCGGUGGAAUGCGUAGAUAUUAUGAAGAAUACCAGUGGCGAAGGCGGCCUCCUGGAUCUGUACUGACACUGAGGUGCGAAAGCGUGGGUAGCGAACAGGAUUAGAUACCCUGGUAGUCCACGCCGUAAACGAUGACAACUAGCUGUUGGGAGACUAUGUCUUUCAGUGGCGCAGCUAACGCUUUAAGUUGUCCGCCUGGGGAGUACGGCCGCAAGGCUAAAACUCAAAUGAAUUGACGGGGACCCGCACAAGCGGUGGAGCAUGUGGUUUAAUUCGAUGCAACGCGAAAAACCUUACCUACUCUUGACAUACUUGGAGGCUCUUGUAAUGAGAGUGUGCCUUUUGGAACCAAGAUACAGGUGCUGCAUGGCUGUCGUCAGCUCGUGUCGUGAGAUGUUGGGUUAAGUCCCGCAACGAGCGCAACCCUCACUUUUAGUUGCCAUCAUUAAGUUGGGCACUCUGAAAGAACUGCCAGUGAUAAGCUGGAGGAAGGUGGGGAUGACGUCAAGUCCUCAUGGCCCUUACGUGUUGGGCUACACACGUGAUACAAUGGGAGAGACAGACGGACGCUAAGCCGCGAGGUGGUGCUAAUCCUAGAAACUCUCUCGUAGUCCGGAUUGGAGUCUGCAACUCGACUCCAUGAAGUUGGAAUUGCUAGUAAUCGCGGAUCAGCAUGCCGCGGUGAAUACGUUCUCGGGUCUUGUACACACCGCCCGUCACACCAUGGAAGUGGAUUGCACCAGAAGUAGAUAGUCUAACCUUAGGGAGGGCGUUUACCACGGUGUGCUUCAUGACUGGGGUGAAGUCGUAACAAGGUAACC
rnacentral:rRNA from 1 species